GUCUACGGCCAUACCACCCUGAAAGUGCCCGAUCUCGUCUGAUCUCAGAAGCUAAGCAGGGUCGGGCCCGGUUAGUAUAUCACAGUCUAGCUUCAAAUGAUUCAUGCUAUUAGAUUUACAGUAUGAAAGCUGUAUUUA
rnacentral:rRNA from 1 species